rnacentral:snRNA from 1 species
AUACUUACAUAGCAUUAUGGGCACAUAGGUAGUUUUCACAGGGCACAAUUUGUCCAUUGCAUUGAAUGUACUGACCUCCUUGAUGUGUCUAAAUGUGGAAAAUUUGAUUGCAUAAUUUAUGGUAUUGGGGGACUGCAUUCAGGUAGUUCCCUG